UACGGAGGGUGCUAGCGUUGUCCGGAAUCAUUGGGCGUAAAGAGCGUGUAGGCGGCCAGAAAAGUCCGCUGUGAAAACUCGAGGCUCAACUUCGAGCUGUCGGUGGAAACUUUCUGGCUAGAGUCCGGAAGAGGAGAAUGGAAUUCCUGGUGUAGCGGUGAAAUGCGCAGAUAUCAGGAAGAACACCCGUGGCGAAGGCGGUUCUCUGGGACGGUACUGACGCUGAGGCGCGAAAGCGUGGGGAGCAAACAGG
rnacentral:rRNA from 1 species